rnacentral:tRNA from 1 species
GGCACGGUGGCCAAGCGGUAAGGCGUUGGUCUCGUAAACAAAAAUAUCAUUGGUUCAAUCCCAAUCCAUGCCA